UUUACAAUAACUGGCGUUAAUUUUUUGAAAUUUUUUUGCUUACGGUCUCUCCCAUUGUAUUUCAUAUGAAAUGCAUGCUUAUAUGGCAAAAAAAAAAAAAAAUCCGUCACUGAAAAAAAUUCUCAAAAAUCAACGCGAUUUUUUAGCCGUUUGA